rnacentral:rRNA from 1 species
AGGAUAAACGCUGGCGGCGUGCCUAACACAUGCAAGUCGAACGCGCUUUCGGGCUUCGGUGCGAGAGCGAGUGGCGGACGGGUGAGUAACACAUGGGUACCUACCUUGGAGUGAGGGAUACCGGCGAGAAAUCGCCGACAAUACCGCAUAGGCUUCUUCACAAGGGAAGCAAAGUGACGCGAGUCACGCUUUGAGAUGGGCCUGUGGCCGAUUAGCUAGUUGGGGGGGUAACGGCUUCCCAAGGCGACGAUCGGUAGCUGGUCUGAGAGGACGAUCAGCCACACUGGGAUUGAGAACGGCCAGACUCCUACGGGGGGCAGCAGUGAGGAAUUUUCCGCAAUGGAGGCAACUCUGACGGAGCAACGCCGCGUGCAGGAGGAAGGUUUUCGGAUCGUAAACUGCUUUUCUCGGGGACGAGCAAGGACGGUACCCGAGGAACGAAGCCCCGGCUAACUACGUGCCAGCAGCCGC